AUUGAACGCUGGCGGCAGGCCUAACACAUGCAAGUCGAACGAGUGGCGGCCGUGUGAGUAAUGUCGGGGAAACUGCCUGAUGGAGGCGGAUAACUACUGGAAACGGUAGCUACUACCGCAUACCCUCGGAUGUGCCCAGAUGGGAUUAGCUAGUAGGUGGGGUAAAGGCGCACCUAGGCGACGAUCCCUAGCUGGUCUGAGAGGAUGACCUGCCCGACUGGAACUGAGACACGGUCGAGACGCCAACGGGAGGCAGCAGUGGGGAAUAUUGCACAAUGGACGCAAGCCUGUUGCAGAAAUGCCGCAUGUAUGAAUAAGGCCUGCGGGGUGUAAAAUACUUUCAGCGGGGAGGCGUUACCCGCAGAAGAAGCAACGGCUAACUCCGUGCCAGCAGCCGCGGUAAUUC
rnacentral:rRNA from 1 species